rnacentral:lncRNA from 1 species
AGGGGCUACCCAGGCAGAGAGCUGAGAACACAGGGGCCAUCAGCCUCGCUAUCACCUCCACCCCCAAGUGCUUGGCUCCCCAAGGGACAGCUCUAAAAUCCCCAGAAUCUCAGGCUGGUGGGUCCAGCUGAGCAUCCUAGUUUUCACUUUCUCCUCCCAAAAAGGAAAGAACCUUGGUCACUAAAUUCUACGCCUUCUGGAAAUCACUCUGCUAAUGACUUCCUGAAUGAUCGACUGAGACCAACAGCUGGCCCAGCCCUGCAUGGAGGAGUAAGAAACCCUCAUCUGUCAGAGUUAAGGGGCCUGAAUGGGUACAGGUCACAUUCUUGGAGCUCAAGGUGACAGGCCAGAGCCCAGGUCCCCAGGACAGUGCAGCACCUUGUCCAGGCGGGCCUCCCGUUUCUGGCUCCGGGCUGAGCUUCCUGGAGAAGAGGAAGGUAAGAUACAUGGAAGGGAUGGAGGUGGUGUACACCAUACCUGCCUGGACCUCACUCAUCACUUGGGGAGCUGGUUAAACAUGCAGGUCCCCAGGCCUCUGUCUUGGAGGACCUGAGGUUCAG